rnacentral:sRNA from 1 species
AGUUGACUGUUACAAAAAAUAUUGAGUAGCGACAAUAUUUAGCAGUUAACCCUUAAAUUAAGUAGUGAUUAAAGUUCUCCCAAACACACUACAUUCAGACAGGCACACUUGUUUA